UGUUUUACAAGUAGUUUACAUAUGCUUAUUUGUACGUUUAAUGUUUACAAUUGAACGGAAGUGUAUCAUAUUUAUUAUUCUUGCAGAGUAAAAAAGAAACACGCUUUAAAGUUGCUGUUUUAAUAAGUGUGUCAGUCAAACCGUCCCAGUUCGGUUUGUUGCAGCUAUAAUUUACCUGAUAAAAAGUCAUUUAGAAUCGGAUUCAAUGAAAAGAUCCGAGUCAGAAGAAUGAUUCGUUCGUGAAUCGGACACCGGUAGAUGCGACUCAUUUUAUCUCCACAAGCCGUGAAUGCACGUUUAGUUUUCUUGUGUUCAGUUUUAUUUUAUUAACCUGCCAUUAGUGUUUAAUAAACCGGUCAAGAAUUAAGGACAUAAAUUAGAUGAAAACAGGUUAAACUUCUUUGUGUUAUUGUUUUUAGGAUGGCGUUUUUUUUUAAUUAUUAUUAUUGGACUGUGAACUGUGAUAGCCUGGUUCAGAGGUCCAUAAAGCAGACAAACCUGACUUUUCAGCAGCAAGGAAACUACUGUCAUGUCAAGAAAAGGUGUUUAGACGUUUACAAAAUUUGUGGCAUCCAAGAAAGUUCCUCCAACCUGUGAAAACAGCUCAGCAGCUCAGUCGUCGUGCACCACCUGCAGAGAGCCCGGACUGACGGCCUGCUGUCCUGUGUGCCAAGCCAAAGAGCAAAACCACAGCUACAUCUCCUCUGAUGGGCUUUCUCAUCGAGAGGAUUGCGAAUGCACAAUGACGCGGCCCAGAAUCCCCGAAGAUACACUAUGACAAACUCAAUAAGUUGAAAAUCAUCUUAGAUGGCCUGUAACUUUGUGUGAUUUUAAGUAUGCAAAUUAUUUUUUAAACUGUUGUACCAAUUCAGUCAUGAUUUUAAAAAUGGGACACAAUGCAAAUCUUCAGUAAAUUACGCAUCAUCCUCAUUCUUAAUUUUAUUUGACAUUCAAAAUCAUACAUAUAUCAAUGCAACGGUUUAAUUUAUCCAACAAUAAUUAGGUCGUUCAACACAAACUAUACACAGACACUGUACACACUGGUGAUGUACAUAUACACACAUAAAGACAAAAACUAAAAAAAAAAUUAAAUAUUAUUUCCUUGAACUUGAGAUCAAAUUAAUUAAAAA